UGGGGAAUAUUGCACAAUGGGCGAAAGCCUGAUGCAGCAACGCCGCGUGAGUGAUGAAGGUCUUCGGAUUGUAAAGCUCUGUCUUUUGGGACGAUAAUGACGGUACCAAAGGAGGAAGCCACGGCUAACUACGUGCCAGCAGCCGCGGUAAUACGUAGGUGGCGAGCGUUGUCCGGAUUUACUGGGCGUAAAGGGUGCGUAGGCGGAUGUUUAAGUGAGAUGUGAAAUACCCGGGCUUAACUUGGGUGCUGCAUUUCAAACUGGAUAUCUAGAGUGCAGGAGAGGAGAAUGGAAUUCCUAGUGUAGCGGUGAAAUGCGUAGAGAUUAGGAAGAACACCAGUGGCGAAGGCGAUUCUCUGGACUGUAACUGACGCUGAGGCACGAAAGCGUGGGUAGCAAACAGGAUUAGAUACCCUGGUAGUCCACGUCGUAAACGAUGAGUACUAGGUGUAGGAGGUAUCGACCCCUUCUGUGCCGCAGUAAACACAUUAAGUACUCCGCCUGGGAAGUACGAUCGCAAGAUUAAAAC
rnacentral:rRNA from 1 species